rnacentral:rRNA from 1 species
UACGAAGGGGGGCUAGCGUUGUUCGGAAUUACUGGGCGUAAAGGGCGCGCAGGCGGCCCCUCCAAGUCAGGCGUGAAAAGCCCCCGGGCUCAACCCGGGAAUAGCGCUUGAGACUGGGGGGGCUUGAGUUCGGGAGAGGAGAGUGGAAUUCCCAGUGUAGAGGUGAAAUUCGUAGAUAUUGGGAAGAACACCGGUGGCGAAGGCGGCUCUCUGGACCGACACUGACGCUGAGGCGCGAAAGCGCGGGGAGCGAACGGGAUUCGAGAUA